AACGACGACGUGUACUGGUAUCGUCGUCCAGAACCAGAACGAGUGCCUUGUAUCGUCGUCUACAGCGCUGCAUGGUGUUUGAUACGAGCUCCAUUGUUCGACGGACGAUUUGUUUGUGCUGUGGAAGCGAUUGAAAAUUUCUCUAAUCGCAUAGAAAAAUCCUGGUUAAUUCUAAGGCAUGGUUUAUUGAUGUUUUCUGGAUAGAAAUCAGCUAAAGGGAAGUAUUUCAUCUUCUAGUCUUUGACAUUAAAAUAUGAAGAGCAUGGGGCAGAUCAGCGCAGGCCCUUGGUUGUUGGAUUGUCAUUUUAUUAUUUGUGGAUGUUUUAUUGGAUCACUGAUCCGAGAAUAAUAUCCCACCAUGAUUAUGUUUAGUUGUUGUAUUCCAUUGAUUGGGUUAAUGGACUGUCCAAAAAAAAUGUACAUAUCUGUAGACAUUUUCACGCAAAUGAACUUGAGUGAAGUAGUUCAAAAUAUUUUGAUGUAAUA